rnacentral:rRNA from 1 species
CCUACGGGAGGCAGCAGUGAGGAAUAUUGGGCAAUGGACGAGAGUCUGAACCAGCCAAGUAGCGUGAAGGAUGACUGCCCUAUGGGUUGUAAACUUCUUUUAUAUGGGAAUAAAAUGUUCCACGUGUGGGAUUUUGUAUGUACCAUAUGAAUAAGGAUCGGCUAACUCCGUGCCAGCAGCCGCGGUAAUACGGAGGAUCCGAGCGUUAUCCGGAUUUAUUGGGUUUAAAGGGAGCGUAGGUGGAUUGUUAAGUCAGUUGUGAAAGUUUGCGGCUCAACCGUAAAAUUGCAGUUGAAACUGGCAGUCUUGAGUACAGUAGAGGUGGGCGGAAUUCGUGGUGUAGCGGUGAAAUGCUUAGAUAUCACGAAGAACUCCGAUUGCGAAGGCAGUUCACUGGACUGCAACUGACACUGAGGCUCGAAAGUGUGGGUAUCAAACAGGAUUAGAUACCCCUGUAGUC